UACUCUGGAAAAAAAGGUGUGUCUAUGUGUUAGUGUCUGAAAUUGACACCGACACUUGUUUACUUUAUUCAUAUUUUUCAAAUUAUUAACGGUGUGUAGACGGUGUGAGUGUGUGUUUCCGGUUUCCGUGCUUCAUACUUCAUAGCUAACAAAUUUCACACACCUUUAAUAAAAAACUAAGAGAGAUUGGAAUAGGUAUAAAGAAUGAAAGUCAAACAAAAAAGUUUGAGCAAAAAAGGGCAGAUAAAAAUAUUUGUAGCAUUACUAACUUAGGCACAAAAAAGAUACAGAAUUGGUCUAUAAUCAUCCAAAAACUCCAAAGCGAGAAAGCGUUACAAAUGCAAUUCAAGCCAUCCUAGAUUUUAAUUUUAAAUUUAUAAAAAUUCCAAAGGAUUGGAUCUUGAAUGCACCAUAAAAAAUAGAAUCUUGAUCCUAGAUCCAAAUAAAACCUAACUGAUUCAAAUCUCGUGUUCAUAUGUUUUUGGUUCGAAACACGAAACCCCAAAUUAAUCCGAAAAUUGUAAAGAAAAAUAUAUCAACUUUGGCAUUUCUUAUUAAAUUGAUUACUGUAAAGAAUAAAGGAAAGAAAUACCUGUGGUUUGUUGAAGUUGAGAGCAAAUCUUGGGAAAAAGAAGAGAGUUUUGAAGGUGAAGGUGAAGGGGUUUGUGGGAAAUUCGGGAAGGGAAGGAAAACGAGGGAAGAGGAUUAAGGCGUGAAGAGGGAGAAGAAGAAGAAAAUAUAGGUAAGUGAAGGUAAGAAGGGGAAAUGAGAGAAAGAGGCAUGGUGAAAGUGAGAGUAACGAAUGGGAAGAGAAGAGAAUCUCACACACAAAAUGGGACCGCAGACGCAGAGGAUGAAUAAAAGCACGAUGGGAAAACGGUGGAUGGGAAAUAAUAUUGUGGCUACUAAAUAUUUUCUCAAAUUUCUCUUAAUUUUCAAUUUUUUUAUCUCAUGAAUAUGAGUUUUUUUAUGAAAUAACCUCUUUUAAAAAAAAAUCCAAUCUACUAUAGUUUUUUAGAAAACAAUACAUUUUUUUAAAAAUGGGAAAAUAAAAAGAAAAAAACAAAUUCAGAAAAUUAUCUAGAAAAUAAGGUCAGAAAAUUAUCUAGAAAGUAAAGUCUAGCAUCAGUUAGUAGGAGCGUGACUAUUCAAAUAUGAGGUUCCGCAAAAGACCGGUAUGUCACAUCAUUACUUGUUUCAUAUUUUGCUAGGUAAUUGGAGUCGCUAUCGAGGUUUCGAAUCGGAUAACGAGGAAACCGGGACUGAACAAAAGAAUGCCCUCACCCUCAAAAGGGAGAGAGAAAUGGAAAAUUAGAAGAGUCGACACCGAAUUUUAUUUUGAUUUCCUCUAUGGGAGAGAACAGAGGAAAUAGUCGAUAAAACUCUCGAAAGAAAAAGGUGUGCACAUGAAGCGCAAAGGUACGGAUAAAGAAUCGGUCUUGCAACCGAGACUUGGGUUCGGAAGUCGGUUACGCAAGGAAAAGGUAUUAGCACCCCUCACGUCCAUAGUACUCCAUGGGAAUCAUUUGGGUUGUUUACGUAUGUGGGUAUUUAUUUAUUUAUUUAUAUUUACUCUUAUUUGCAAAAAUGAGUGUGAAAGAGAUUGUUUUGGGUUUUUUAUUAUUGUGCUUGUCAAGUAUUGUGGCCCUUGUGCCUACGUAUCACUCAUUUGGUGAUGAGGAAUCAAAGCUCCGUAGUUUAGUGUAGAAAGUGUUUGUGUGUUGGUUGAUUUUACCUUUGAGAAAAUGGUUUUCGGGGUGGUGCCUUAAGGCACAAAAAAUAAGGUUUGAUGGGUUGUAUUGUUUUUACCUUGAAUAAGGGUUUACGAAAAAAGAGUUUGUGAUUAGAUUGUACUAAAGUCUAUGGGCGGAGGUGAAAAUUCUAGACAACAAGUCAAACGUCUUGCGUCCAAAAUAAUCAGAGUAAGGGUAGGAAAGCUCCAUUCUUACUUAUUCUCCACCACUUAAGAUUCAUGGUGCACAAUGCUAAUCGUAGUUUUAAUGUAUUUUGAAUUUGAUUAGGAAAAUGUCACUUGAUGUUGGAUGAUUGAUUUGUUUAUUUGAUUCGGAAAUUGGGUAAUGUAACAAGUAUACAAAGUAACCAACAAGAAAAUAAAUAAUCUCAUUGUAAGGUAGCCCAAGAGAAAGUUUUCUGCGUGCAAAAGUAACAUAAGCUAAACAAAGGAUAUCUAUAUAAAUAAAUGUAUGUAUAUAUAAAUAAAUGUAUAUUUAUAUAUAAAUAUAUAUAUAUAUAUAUAUAUAUAUAUAUAUAUAUAUAUAUAUAUAUAUAUAUAUAUAUAUAUAUAUAUAUAUANNNNNNNNNNNNNNNNNNNNNNNNNNNNNNNNNNNNNNNNNNNNNNNNNNNNNNNNNNNNNNNNNNNNNNNNNNNNNNNNNNNNNNNNNNNNNNNNNNNNNNNNNNNNNNNNNNNNNNNNNNNNNNNNNNNNNNNNNNNNNNNNNNNNNNNNNNNNNNNNNNNNNNNNNNNNNNNNNNNNNNNNNNNNNNNNNNNNNNNNNNNNNNNNNNNNNNNNNNNNNNNNNNNNNNNNNNNNNNNNNNNNNNNNNNNNNNNNNNNNNNNNNNNNNNNNNNNNNNNNNNNNNNNNNNNNNNNNNNNNNNNNNNNNNNNNNNNNNNNNNNNNNNNNNNNNNNNNNNNNNNNNNNNNNNNNNNNNNNNNNNNNNNNNNNNNNNNNNNNNNNNNNNNNNNNNNNNNNNNNNNNNNUAUAUAUAUAUAUAUAUAUAUAUAUAUAUAUAUAUAUAUAUAUAUAUAUUUAUUUAUUUAUAACAGUGACAUAUUAGUGUAAACUUUUUUUUAAGUUAUUUAAUUGCUAACAUUUAUCUUUUAAAGAUGAAUAAGUGAAAUGUUGUAGAUUCAAAUCUGCAACCAUACAAAUGAUAUUUCUGCAUAACUAUCAACUGAAUUGAUUUAUCAAAACAAUCCCUUUUAUUUAAGAGUACUCUCUUCGGUCCUUACUAUAACAAAAAAAACAUUUUUAAUCAAUAAAACCGGAAAAAUAUGUUUUUUUACAACUUAAAGAGUAUUUUUAAGCUAAAAGUUCCAUCCUAGGCCUCUUUAUAAUUAAGGUUGAUUAGAUCAGUUUGCGUACUAAAGAACACACAAGUUUUAAGAAAGAUGUUUAUAGUUCAAACCUUGAAAACUAAUAUACUAACCACUAAUUCAGUAAUACUAUUUUAUUAUAAAAAUUAAAAGGUAGGUAUAUAUCAAUUACCUCUUGACAUUAGUUUUAAUUAUAGUGUAGUACUCUUAAACUUAAGUACCUAUUGCAUUGGCCAAAUUCACAUGUUUGAUCAAUAGACCCGAGUCACAAAACAAGGGAAUAAUUUUGAGUAAAGGGAAAGUAGGCACAUUCUAAGCAAAUCACAUUGUACUUGCAGAACAACAGAUGAUGUUCAAAUCAGGUACCAAAGAAACAAACAAAUUCAACAUGUACCUAAACAAUGCUAUUCAAAGAAGAUCCAGGAUAGAAGGUGGAACAUUCAUUACUAGAUAUUGCAAGAGAAAGUAAAUCAAGUAUUUACACGAAGAACUCAGUAAUGUUGAGCAGCCGAACAAGAUAACCUGAAAUUUUAACCAAAAUUCAACAUGACAUUGACAAGAAAAGUUUAUCUCUCAAUUGAGCAUCCUCUCAAUUGCAGACACAUAAAACUCCUUUGGCAUGGUGCCAACUACGACGUCAAAUUUCUUGCCAUUCUUAGACAAUAAAACCACUGGUACAACGUUAAUUUCAUACUCUUCAGCAAUUUGCUUAUCAGCGUCUGUGUUGAGUACAAAGCACUUGAGUCUUCCAGCAUACUCUGUUGCAACCUCAUCAAUAACUCGGUGUACCAUCCUGCACGGGCCACACCAGUUUGAAUAAAACUCAACAAUGACUGGGGUUUCACUUUUCAGAAUCGAGUUAUCCCACAGGUCCUUGUUAACUGGUGUAGCUGCAGGGCAACAAAGUCGCAUAAAUUAAAAGACCAUCAUAUAAUGAUUCAAAGUUCAAUAUUCAUUGACAUUGCAAAAUUCACAAAAUUAAAACCUUUGCAGGAAGAAACAUUUAUACUUAAGUAUGCUUCAAAAAUCCUUUGCAAUACAGCUAGCAACUUAAACUAAGAAUCAGUAAAGUGAUCAAUAAGGCCUUGCAAAUUUUCUGAAAAUGAAACUACGCAAGUGAUAAAAAGAUCAUAUUGAUCUUUAGGUUUAUGAUGCUCCUAAUCUAUAGUUACAACUUAUAAGAAUAUAUCAGCAUGAUCGGUUAUCUCAUGUCCUUUCAUUCGUCUACUCUACUAGCUAUUUUGGGCACAAAACAAUUCACAGCAAUCAAGUUUUGUAAAACUACACCUCAACUCAAAUGACUAAAGCUUUUAUGACAGCAACAUUGAUGAAUAUGAAUAUUGGCAUAUUCAUUUCUUACAAUAAAACAUAUUAUUAACCUCACACUGAACAUCCAUGAUCCAAAAUGACAGAAAUAUUUAUAGAAACUUGAUUCAUCUUAGCUCUUCAGAUUAUAAAUAAGUACUUGAGUNAGAGGAAAACUAACCUCUUCCUAACCAAUUCACAUUACGAAGAGUUUAGCAAAUAACUUCUUUCUCGUUAGAACUUCUAAAACCACUCUCAAAUGCUCAGCAUGCUCUUCUUCAGAUUGUUCGUAAUACACCCAAAAUGUCAUUCAAUAAAAACACCACAACAAACUGGUCUAGGUACGGAUUGGCGAAAAUUCCUAAGUUCAUAUACUCCGAUGAAUACUCCAGGCGCAUUAGUCACACCAAAAGGCAUUACAGGAAUACUCAUAACUGUCCUACCUUGUCCUGAAAGCAGCCGGUCUUUCUGAAUUAUCCUCAGUUUUUUUCACACGUAUCUGAUGAUACCCAGAAUCUCAAAUCUAUUUUUUGCUUGAAGCACACUCGCACCAACAACUGGUCCAUCAGAUCAUCAAUCCUCGCUGUAAAGGAUAUACCGAUUCUGAUCGUCACUUUGUUCAGUUGCCUGUAGUCCACACACAACCUCAUAGUACCUUCUCUUCUUAACCUAAUAACACUGGUGCCACCCCACGUUGACACACUCGGACGAAUAAACUUCAUUAUCCAACAGAUCUUCCAACUCGACUCUUCAAUUCUAGUUAAAUUCAACAGCCCAGCCAUUACAGCGUACUGGAGCCAUCGAUAUCGGUCUCAGUAACAGGUUACCAAAUCAAUCAGAACUCAACUUCACGCUCUGGCGGCAAUUUCAUUCACUUUCUUCAGGAAACACAUCCAGGAAAAAUCACACAGCCACUGCUACGAUCGCCAAUUCACCAGUUUAUCCUCUCUAGCUCCAGAGUCGCUAACAGCAUAAACACUCCGCCCAUCUGCUCUUCCUCAUUCAUCCUGCCUGGCCUGAUCCGAAAACAAACUCUUUCCUUCCUCAACCUCAGGGCGAGAAAAAAAAUCACAGUCUUAUCAAAACACGUUGAUAUAAACUCUGGAGUUAAACACUCCCAAACAGCUUCAUGACCCAGAUAUAACAUUUCCAAUCCCUGCCACUAUAUGAUGAAGGACACACGAGGUCAUCCAAAGUCUCUACCAAAAUACUCAAGUCCGACAACUCAAACAAACUGAGUAGUUAGUAGUCACUUGAACCUUCGCCCCUAGGAGUAUCAAUCACCUACUAUCCCAUACAUUCUCAAGAUUAUCUCUACUAAGUUUCACUAGGCACAAUCAAAAGAUAUAAAGGAAUGGUUUGCCACCUGUGUCUAAUUAAUAGCUAACAACGAGCGCGCCAUUACAUAUAUCCACACGCUUCUCACCUCGGAUCAAACGAUCACUCCAUGCAGAAGUCUCAGAACCGUCCAUAAAGCAAAGAGCCUUGCCUUCCCCGACUGGGGUUCUCUCUCUUCGGUUAGACACUGUGGCACUGAUAUGACCCACCUCUCCACAGUGAAACAAUGUUUACAGUCUUCAACCGGCACUCUUGCAGCACAUGCACCCACCUUUGCACACUUGAAAACACUUCAUCUCAGCAACUUUGGUACAUACUCUAUGGACACGAUGUCCAGCCGGACCACAUUCUAUAAACACUUUAGCAGGGCACUAUUAGUCUCCGCACCUUGCUCUUUCUGUCAUCCACUCUGUCUCUGAAACCUUUGCCGACCUGCAUUUAUUGGCCACGAUCAUUCUGAUUCUUGGGCCUUUUCCUAUCAACCCUUUGCUGGGAUAGCUCUCUGCUUGGCUUGGAAUCUCGUUUCAAAAAUCCUGCAUACAAUCAACCAAGUCAGGAAAACACUCUGAUCCGUUGGUAUCCAAUAGCCUUGCUUGAUCUCGGACGCAAACCCGUUCUCAAACUUCAACACUAUUUCGAAAAUUCUCCAGGCAGCUCAUUAUAUGGGAGUGUAAUACCUUCGACAGCUCUGGUGACUCAGCCACAUUACUCCGUAACAGACUUGGGUUACCCUGGGCUUCAACACUUCUAAGAACUCUAUCUGUCUUUUUCCUCUGACAUCUUCUGGAAAGUCACUUCCUCUACGAAAUCUCUUCUCGUGAACACAGGCGCACGUCAAAUUUCUUCGCCCAUUCUUAGUACAUAAAAACCAACUGUGUACGAACGCGUAUACCUUCAUAUAGAUUUGUCAUUCCCAUCUAUACAUGUCUGUUUAUCAGGCGUCCCCCAGCAGUUUCCAAAUCCUCGCUGAGUUUGAGUAGCCAGGGAUUCAGUUCAGAGUCUUCCCCAGCCCAAUCUAUCCGUCUUGUUGUCCUAGCACAGUCAUCACUCCAAUAAUUCUCCGGGGUACCCGAACCUGACCUUCUUUGAGAUAUAUACGUGCCACACUCAGUCACUGGGACAGACUACUCGCCAGGGCCACGCUCUCUCGAAUACAAAUCCUCCAACCACUGCACUGGUCCACCAUUCUGGUUUACAUCCUUCUUCAGCCAUCUGAUCAAGAUCUCAUCUCCCUUGAUCAAGGUCCUUAGGCACUUACACUUGGUGUGAUCGUUAGCUGCAUGCGUCCUUGAAACAUUGGUGCCAGACGCAAUUUGUUCUUCUGGGAAAGUCGUCACUCAAAUAAAAGAUUAAAGACAUCAUAUAAUGAUCACGGUGUGAGCAACAGUGACUUUCCCCAUUGACAUUGCAAAAAUUUCCUCCAUAAAAACAUAUUAUAACUUCUCUCUGGCAGGAUGUUACCCUACCUAAUGUUACUCCUAAGUCACCUUAAGUUAUGCCUUCACACAAAAUUCACUUUGCAAUACCAGCUUGAGCAAAGCUUCUAACUAAGGUCAGUUAAAGUGAUAAUUUAACGGGCCUUGCUCCCAGUUCCUAUACUCCUGAAAACAUGAAACUACGGCAAGUGAUAAAAGAUCAUAUGAGUGCAUUCAUAGUGCUAUCCUAUAUACGCUACCUAAUGUAUGACUCUACACAAUCUCUUUAUCAAGUGAAAAUAUCCCCAGCAAUGCAAACUUUCCCAAGAGUAUAAUCAUACAUGUACCAUGUUCAUUCGUCUAUACUGUAGCUACCUGGUUUAAUUCUUGAAGCGACCUAACAUACCCAAGUUUCACGCCGGGAAUCACGAUGUUGUUAAAACUUAUAAAUAUACCCGUGAACACUCUCAGGUAGAACUAAAGUUUUCUAUGACAGCAACACUUGAGCUAUUUGCCUUCGAUAAUUGACAUACUGAAAUCUAUAUUGGUGUAAACACUCCCUUCAUUUCUUCUAAACAUUAUAACAUCUCCCAAUUUAUAAUUCCUUGUCAACAUUAACUGAACAAUAACCAUUAUAGAAAAUCCAUCAAAGUAUGACAGAAAUAUUUUAUAGAAACUUAGAUCAUCUUAGCAGUCUAGAUUAAUUUUAGAUCAAGGUCUUGUCAAAGUGACACCUCACACACUUCAAAAGCUAUCCAGCUGGCUAAAUUUAUAAGUUCAUGAACACCACACACAAAUCUCAAUGUAGCAUCACGAUACUCCUAGCCGAAAUUCAAAACGCGUAGUGUCUAUGUGUUAGUAUAACUGUCUGAAAUUGCACCGACACUUGUUUAGGUCAUGCCUUCUUAUUUUCAUAUGAUUUUCCAAAAACUUAUAAGCAUUUGUGUACACCGUAGUAACGCUGUUAGAAGGCGGAUAGAAAUCUCUAUCCUAAAUCUGUUGCUUAAAAGCAUGUAACAUAUUACAUGUUUGAAUUAUUUCAACAAAAUUAAAAACAUUUCCCAUCCCAUUGGUUACAUCUAUCAGAGCCACGACCCACUCAACGGGAGGUGUGUGUCUGUGUUUCCGGUUUCCGUGCUUCAUACUUCAUAGCUAACAAAUUUCACACACCUUUAAUAAAAAACUAAGAGAGAUUGGAAUAGGUAUAAAGAAUGAAAGUCAAACAAAAAAGUUUGAGCAAAAAAGGGCAAAAAAAAUAUUUGUAGCAUUACUAACUUAGGCAUAAAAAAGACACAGAAUUGGUCAAUAAUCAUCCAGAAACUCCAAAGCAAGAAAGCGUUACAAAUGCAAUUCAAGCCAUCCUAGAUUUUAAUUUUAAAUUUAUAAAAAUUCCAAAGGAUUAGAUCUUGAAUGCACCAUAAAAAAUAGAAUCUUGAUCCUAGCUCCAAAUAAAACCUAACUGAUUCAAAUCUCGUGUUUAUAUGUUUUUGGUUCGAAACACGAAACCCCAAAUUAAUCCGAAAAUAGUAAAGAAAAAUAUAUCAACUUUGGAAGUUCUUACUAAAUUGAUUACCGUAAAGAAUAAAGGAAAGAAAUACCUGUGGUUUGUUGAAGCAGGGAGUGAAUCUUGGGAAAAAGAAGAGAGUUUUAAAGGUGAAGGUGAAGGGGAUUGUGGGAAAUUCGGGAAGGGAAGGAAAACGAGGGAAGAGGAUUAAGGCGUGAAGAGGGAGAAGAAUAAGAAGAAAAUAUAGGUAAGUGAAGGUAAGAAGGGGAAAUGAGAUAAAGAGGCAUGGUGAAAGUGAGAGUAACGAAUGGGAAGAGAAGAGAAUCUCACACACAAAAUGGGAUCACAGACGUAGAGGAUGAAUAAAAGCACGAGGGGAAAACGGUGGAUGGGAAAUAAUAUUGCGGCUACUAAACAUUUUCUCAAAUUUCUCUUAGUUUUCUAUUUUUUCAUCUCAUGAAUAUGAGUUUUUUUAUGAAAUAACCUCUUUUUAAAAAAAAUCCAAUCUACUAUAGUUUUUUAGAAAACAAUAUAUAUUUUUUUAAAUGGGAAAAUAAAAAGAAAAAAAAACAUAGUCAGGAAAUUAUCUAGGAAAUAAGGUGAGAAAAUUAUCUAGAUAGUAAAGUAUAACAUCAGUUAGUAGGAGAGUGACUAUUCAAAUAUGAGGUUCCGCAAAAGACCAGUAUGUCACAUUAUUACUUGUUUCAUAUUUUGCUAGGUAAUUGGAGUCGUUAUCGGGGUUUCGAAUCAGAUAACGAGGAAACCGAGACUGAACAAAAGAAUGCCCUCACCCUUAAAAGGGGAGAGAAAUUGCAAAUUAGAAGAGUCGACACCGGAUUUUAUUUUGAUUUCCUCAAUGGGAGAGAAGAGGGGAAAUGGUCGAUAAAACUCUCGAAAGAAAAAGGUGUGCACGGGAAGCGCCAAGGUACGGAUAAAGAAUCGAUCUCGCAACCGAGACUUGGGUUCGGAAGUCGGUUACGCAAGGAAAAAGUAUUAGCACCCCUCACGUCCAUAGUACUCUAUGGGAACCAUUGUGUUAUUUACGUAUGUGGGCAUUUAUUUGUUUAUUUUUAUUUACUAUUAUUUGCAAAAAAGAGUGUGACAGAGAGUGUUUUGGGUUUUUUAUUAUUGUGCUCGUCAAGUAUUGUGGUCCUUGUGCCUACGUAUCACUCAUCAGGUGAUGAGGAAUCAGAGCUCCGUAGUUUGGAGUAGAAAGUAUUUAAGUGUUGGUUGAUUUUACCUUUAAAAAAAUGGUUUUCGGGGUGGUGCCUUAAGGCACAAAAAAUAAGGUUUGAUGGGUUGUAUUGUUUUUACCUUGAAUAAGAGUUUAUGAAAAACAGUUUGUGAUUAGAUUGUACUAAAGUCUAUGGACGGAGGUGAAAAUUCUAGACAACAAGUCAACUGUCUUGCAUCCAAAAUAAUCAGAGUAAGGAUAGGAAAGCUCCUUUCUUACUUAUUCUCCACCACUUAGGACUCGUGGUGCACAAUACUAAUCACAGUUUUAAUGUAUUUUGAAUUUGAUUAGGAAAAUGUCACUAGAUGUUGGAUCAAUGAUUAGUUUAUUUGAUUCUGAAAUUGCGUAAUGUAACGGAUAUACAAAGUAACCAACAAGGAAGUAAAUCGUCUCAUUGUAAGGUAGCCCAAGAGAAAGCCUUGUGCGUGCUAAAGUAACCUAAGCUAAACAGAUAUAUAUAUAUUAUAUAUAUAUAUUUUAAUAUCUUAUUAUAUAUAAUAUUUCAUAUAUAUUAUAAUAUUAUAUAUAUAUAUAUAUAUUAUAACAUAUAUUAUAUAUAUAUAUAAUAGAUUAUAUAUAAUAUUAAAUAGGAUAUAUAUUAUAUAUAUUUAUUUUAUAUAUAUCAGUUUAAUUGUAUAUCUAUUUAAUAUAUAUAUUUACAUAUUAUAUAUUUAUAUAUAUAUAUAUAUAAUAUUAUAUUGAUAUUUUUAAUUUACUGGAUAUAAGUAUAUAUAUAUUUUAUUAUAUAUAUAAUAUAUACUAUAUAUAUAAAUAUAUAUAUUUAUGAUAUAUAUUUAUAUAUAUAAUUAUAUUAUAUAUAUUAUUAUUAUAUAUAUAUAUAUAUAUAUAUUAUAUAUAUUAAGUAGAUAUAUUAUUUAAUAUAUUUAUUAAUAUAUAUAUAUAUAUAUAUACUAUAUUAUAUAUAUAUAUAUAUAUAUAUAUAUAUAUAUGAUAUAUUAUAUAUAUAUAUAUAUAUAUAUAUAUAUAAUAUAAUAUAUAUAUAUAUAUUAUAUUUAAUGAUAUUUAAUAUAUACUAUAUACUAUUAUAUAUAUAUAUAAUAUUAUAUAUAAUAUAAUUAAUAUAUAUAUUAUGUAUAUACUGUAAUAUAGUCGUAACUAUAUAAUUAUAGUAACUAUAUUUAUUUAUAUAUAAUAUUAUAUCUAUUACUAUAUUAUUAAAUAUUUAUAUAAUAUAAAUAGUAUAUACUAUUAUAAUAUUAUAUUAUAUAUUAUGAUAUUAUUACAGAAUAUAUUAUAUAUAUAUAUAUUAUAUAUAUAUAUAUGGUAUAUAUCUCGUAAAUAUAAUAUAUAUAUAUAUAUAUAUAUUAUAGUAUAUAAAUCAUAUAUAUAUCUAUUAUUGACUAUACGUAUAUUGAUAUGAUUAUAUAUAUAUUGUAUUAAGUAUAUUGUGAUCUGUAUUGAAAAAAGCUAACUUAUAAUAUAAAUAUUAUGGGAAACUAUAUAUACUACUAUACGUAAAAGUAUGUAUAAUAACUCAUAUAUAAUAUAGGGUAUAACCUCAUUGUAAGUUAACUAUUAUUUAUAUGAAUUGUGGGAUUAGUGUAUACUUUUUUUUAUAAGUUAUAAUGCAAAAUUUAUCUUUUAGAAUAGAUACGGUAUUUGCAGAUGUAAAUCUGGCAAUGUACUAAGCAAAGUAUUUCUGCAUAAUAUAAUGAUGAUCUAUUAGAACACAUACUUUUUAUUAUAGUACUCUUUCUUCUCUUAACAAAAAAUUUUUCAUAUCUGGAAAUUAUUUUUUAAUUAGAGUAUUUUUAGCAUAAAGUCUCUUUAGCUUCUUAUAUUAGGUUUGAUUAGGAUCGUUGGUACUAAAGAACAACAGUUUAGAAGAUGUGUUCUUGUUCAACCUUGAAUUCAAUAUACAAAUCACUUAUUUUUAUUAGAAUAUAAUUAGUAGGUAUAUAUCAUGUACUCUUCUGUAUCAAUUAAUAUCAUCAUAUGAGAAUUGAAUCUCAUUGCUAUCAUGCAUUGGCCAAAUCGCAUGCUUGAUCAAUGAGACCGCUGGUACAACAGGAAUAAUUUGAGGUAAUAGGAAGUAAGGCACAUUCAUAGCGAAAUCACAUUGUUACUGAGACAAAUUGUGUUCAAAUCAGGUACCAAAAAAACAAACAAUUCAACUGUACUAAACAAUGCUAUUCAAGAAGAUCUAGUGGAUGCAAGGUGAACAUUCGAAUUCUAGAUAAUUGCAAGAGAGAGUAGUAAUGUUCACGAGAAUCAUUAGUGAGCAGCCAGACAGAUACUAAUUUUAACCAAUUCAGACUGCCAUGACAACAAAAGUAUACUCUCAAUUGAGAUCCUCUACAUUUGAGCAAAAAUCUUGACAAAUUUGCAUGGUGCCAAGUAUUGCGUCACAAUUCUUUGCCAUCUUAAAAAACUAACAGCUGGAUACACCUAAUUUCAACUCUUUCAGCAUUUGUCAUAUCGUUUGUGUUGUGUACAAGCAUGGUCUUCCAGACGAUACUUCUGUUGCAACCUCAUCAUAACUGGCGGUGAACCAUACUCGCAUGGGCCACUUUCAUUUUAUUUACAUAUCCUCAUAGAACUCAUACAAGGCUGGUUUCACUUUAGAAUCGAGUUAUCCACAGGUCCUAUGUUGAAGACUGAGUUGUAGCUGGCAGGCACAAAGUCCAUGAAUUAAAAGACAUCAUAUAUGUCCAGUUCAAUCAUGCUGGAAUUGCAAAAUUCACAAAAUUUAACCUUUGCGUAAAGAAAAUUUUACUUAAGUAAUGCUUUAACAGCUUUGCAAUACACUCAGACGUCAAACUUAAGAAUCGUAAAAUGAUCAAUAAGGCUUGCAGAAAUUUUCUGAAUAAUUCAAACUACGCAGUUGAUAAAAGAUCAUAAUGAUCUUAGUUUAUGCUGCCUAUCUAUAGUUACAAAUUAUCAAAUACAUCAGCAUGAUCGUUAUCUUCUAUCCUCUCAUUCAUCUACUUACUAGCUAUUUGGGCACAAAACAAUUCACAGCAUCAAUAUGAAAAACUAACUCACUCAUAAUGAUUAAGCUUUUAUGACAGCAAAUGAUGAAUAUGAAUAUUGGCUAUUUAUUUCUUACAAUAAAACAUACCAUUAACCUCAAACUGAACAUCCAUGAUCCAAAAUGGACAGAAAUAUAUUAGAACUGAUUAUUUAGCUCUCAGAUUAUACAAGUACUUGAGUUACACCUCAACACUUCAAACAUUAUUACUGCAAUUCACUAUAAACUAUUGCAACAUAACUCUGAAAAAGGGUGUUAUGUCACGAUCUGAAAUUGACACGCGAAACUUGUACUGUAUUCAAUUUUUCAAUAUUAACGUGUAGAAUGUGAGUGGUGUUUCCGUUUCCGGUGUUUCAACUUAUAGGUACAAAUUUACCCUUAUAAAAACUAAGAGUAUUGAAUAGGUAUAAGAUGAAAUCAACAAAAAGUUUGAGCUAAAAAAGCAAAAUAAAAUAUUCUACAAAUUCUAACUUAGGCACAAUAAGACAAGAUGUCUAUAUCAUCAAAACUCCAAAGCAAGAAAGCGUUACAAAUGCAAUUCAAGCCAUCCUAGAUUUUAAUUUCAAAUUUAUAAAAAUUCCAAAGGAUUGGAUCUUGAAUGCACAAUAAAAAAUAGAAUCCUGAUCCUAGCUCCAAAUAAAACCUAACUGAUUCAAAUCUCGUGUUUAUAUGUUUUUGGUUCGAAACACGAAACCCCAAAUUAAUCCGAAAAUAGUAAAGAAAAAUAUAUCAACUUUGGCAUUUCUUAUUAAAUUGAUUAUCGUAAAGAAUAAAGGAAAGAAAUACAUGUGGUUUGUUGAAGCAGAAAGCGAAUCUUGGGAAAAAGAAGGGAGUUUUGAAGGUGAAGGUGAAGGGGUUUGUGGGAAAUUCGGGAAGGGAAGGAAAACGAGGGAAGAGGAUUAAGGCGUGAAGAGGGAGAAGAAUAAGAAGAAAAUAUAGGUAAGUGAAGGUAAGAAGGGGAAAUGAGAGAAAGAGGGAUGGUGAAAGUGAGAGUAACGAAUGGGAAGAGAAGAGAAUCUCACACACAAAAUGGGACCACAGACGUAGAGGAUGAAUAAAAGCACGAGAGGAAAACGGUGGAUGGGAAAUAAUAUUGCGGCUACUAAACAUUUUCUCAAAUUUCUCUUAAUUUUCUAUUUUUUCAUCUCAUGAAUAUGAGUUUUUUUUUAUGAAAUAACCUCUUUUUAAAAAAAAUCCAAUCUACUAUAGUUUUUUAGAAAAAAUUAUAUAUUUUUUUAAAUGGGAAAAUAAAAAGAAAAAAAAACAAAGUCAGAAAAUUAUCUAGAAAAUAAGGUCAGAAAAUUAUCUAGAAAGUAAAGUAUAACAUCAGUUAGUAGGAGAGUGACUAUUCAAAUAUGAGGUUCCACAAAAGACCAGUAUGUCACAUUAUUACUUGUUUCAUAUUUUGCUAGGUAAUUGGAGUCGCUAUCGGGGUUUCGAAUCGGAUAACGAGGAAAUCGAGACUGAACAAAAGAGUGCCCUUACCCUCAAAAGGGGAGAGAAAUGGCAAAUUAGAAGGGUCGACACCGAAUUUUAUUUUGAUUUCCUCAAUGGGAGAGAAGAGGGGAAAUGGUCGAUAAAACUCUCGAAAGAAAAAGGUGUGCACAGGAAGCGCCAAGGUACGGAUAAAGAAUCGAUCUCGCAACCGAGACUUGGGUUCGGAAGUCGAUUACGCAAGGAAAAAGUAUCAGCACCCCUCACGUCCAUAGUACUCCAUGGGAACCAUUUGUGUUGUUUACGUAUGUGGGUAUUUAUUUGUUUAUUUCUAUUUACUCUUAUUUGAAAAAAUGAGUGUGAAAGAGAGUGUUUUGGGUUUUUUAUUAUUGUCCUCGUCUAGUAUUGUGGCCCUUGUGCCUACGUAUCAUUCAUCGGGUGAUGAGGAAUCAGAGCUCCGUAGUUUGGAGUAGAAAGUGCUUGAGUGUUGGUUGAUUUUACCUUUGAAAAAAUGGUUUUCGGGGUGAUGCCUUAGGGCACAAAAAAUAAGGUUUGAUGGGUUGUAUUGUUUUUACCUUGAAUAAGAGUUUUCGAAAAACAGUUUGUGAUUAGAUUGUACUAAAGUCUAUGGGCGGAGGUAAAGAUUCUAGACAACAAGUCAACUGUCUCGCGUCCAAUAUAAUCAGAGUAAGGGUAGGAAAGCUCCAUUCUUACUUAUUCUUCACCACUUAAGACUCGUGGUGCAUAAUAAUAAUCACAGUUUUAAUGUAUUUUGAAUUUGAUUAGGAAAAUGUCACUAUAUGUUGGAUCAAUGAUUAGUUUAUUUGAUUCUGAAAUUGGGUAAUGUAACGGAUAUACAAAGUAACCAACAAGGAAGUAAAUCGUCUCAUUGUAAGGUAGCCCAAGAGAAAGCCUUGUGCGUGCUAAAGUAACAUAAGCUAAACAAAGGAUAUAUAUAUAUAUAUAUAUAUAUAUAUAUAUANNNNNNNNNNNNNAAUACAUGUGGUAAUUUGUUGGCAAGCAAAGCGAAUCUUGGGAAAAAAGAAGCGAGUUUUGACAGGUGAGAAGUGAGGGUUUGUGGGGAAAUUCGGAAGGAAGGAAAACGGAGGGAAGAGCAUUAGGCAACGUGAAGAGGGAGAAAGAAUAAGAAGAAAUAUAGGUAACGUGAGGUAAAGGGGAAAUGAGAGAAAGAGGGAUGGUGAAAGUGAGUAGAACGAAUGGGAACGAAGAAAGAAUCUCACACACCAAAAUCGGAGACCACAACGUAGAGGAUGAAUAAAACACGAGAGGAAACGGUGGAUGGGAAAUAAUAUUGCGCUACUAAAACAUUUUUCUUCAAUUUCUCUUUAAUUUUCUAUUUUUCAUCUUCAUGAAUAUUGAGUUUUUUUCUUAUGAAAUACCUCUUUUUAAAAAAAAUCCAAUCUACUAUAGUUUUUUUUAGAAAAAAAUUAUAUAUUUUUUAAAUGGAAAUAAAAAGAAAAAAACAAAGUCAAGAAAAUUUCUAGAAAAUAAGGUCAGAAAAUUAUCUAGGAAAGUAAAGUAUAACACAGUUAGUGGAGAGUGACUAUUCAAAUAUAGUUCCACAAAAGACCAGUAUGUCCACAUAUUACUUGUUUCAACUAUUUUGCUAGGAAAUUGGGUCGCUAUCGGGUUUCGAAUCGGAUAACGGAGGGAAAUCGGACUGAACAAGGUGCCCUACCCUCAAAAGGGAGAGAAAUGGCAAAUUCAGAAGGCGAAACCGAAUUUAUUUUGAUUUCCCAAUGGGAGAGCAAGAGGGGAAAGGUCGAUAAAACUCAUCGAAAGAAAAAGGUGUGCACAGAAGCGCCAAGGACGGAUAAAGAAUGCGAUCCUAGCAAGCCGAAGACUGGGUGCGGAAGUCGAUUACGCCAAGGAAAAGAUAUCAGCACCCUCACGUCCAUAGUACUCCAUGGAACACCAUUGUGGUUGUUUACGUAUGUGAGUAUUUAUUUUUUAUUAUCUACUUACUCUUAAUUUCGAAAAAUGCACAGUGUGAAAGAGAGUGUUUGGGUUUUUUUAUUAUUGUCCUCGUCUAGUAUUGUGGCCCUUGUGCCUACGUAUCAUUCAUGGGUGAUGAGGGAAUCAAGAGCAUCCAAGUACGUUGAGUAGAAAAGUGCUUGAGUGUUGGUUGAUUUUACCUUUGGAAAAAAAUGGUUUUCGGGCGUAUGCCUUAGGGCACAAAAAAUAGGUUGAUGGGUUGUCAUUGUUUUUAACUUGAAUAAGAGUUUCGAAAACAGUUUGUGAAUUAGAAUGUACUAAGUCUAAUGGGCGGGUAAAGAUUCUAAACAACAAUCAACUGUUCUCGCGUCCAAUAUAAAUCAGAGUUAAGGUAGGAAAGUCCAUUCUUACUUAUUCUCUCAACCACUUAAGAACUCGUGUGGCAUAAUAAUAAUCACAGUUUAAUUGAUAUUUUGAAUUGAUUAGAGAAUAUGUCACUAUAAAUGUUGGAUCAAUGAUUAGUUUUAUUUGAUUCUGACAAUUGGGUAAAUGUACGUAUACAAAGUAAACCAACAAGGGAAGUAAAUCGUCUCAUUGUAAGGUUAAGCCCAAGAGAAAAGCCUUGUCGUGCUAAUAACAUAAGCUAAACAAAGUAAUAUUAUAUUAUAUUAUAAUAAUAUAUAUAUAUAGUUAUAUAUAUAUAUAUAUAUAAUAAUAUUAUAAUAUAUAUAUAUAUAUAAAUACUAUAAUAUAUAUAUAUAAACUUAUAAAAUAUAUUUUUAUAAUAGUGGCAUAUUAGUGUAAACUUUUUUUUAAGUUAUUAAAUUGCUAAAAUUUAUCUUUUAAAGAUGAAUAAGUGAAAUGUUGCAUAUUAAAAUUUGCAAUCAUACAAAUGAUAUUUCUGCAUAACUAUCAACUGAAUUGAUUUAUCAGAACAAUCCUUUUUAUUUAAUAGUACUCUCUUCGGUCCUUACUAUAACAAAAAAAAACAUUUUUAAUCAAUAAAAUCGGAAAAAUAUUAUUUUUUACAACUUAAAGAGCAUUUUUAAGCUAAAAGUUCCAUCUUAGGCCUCUUUAUAAUUAAGGUUGAUUAGAUCAGUUUACGUACUAAAGAACACACAAGUUUUAAGAAAGAUGUUUAUAGUUCAAACCUUGAAAACUAAUAUAUAACCACGAAUUCACUAAUACUAUUUUAUUAUAAAAAUUAAAAGGUAGGUAUAUAUCAGUUACCUCUUCUGUAAUCAAAAUUAAUAUCACAUCAUGAGAAUUUGAAUUCAUGCUAUUGCAUUGGCCAAAAUCGCAUGCUUGAUCAAUAGACCUGAGUCACAAAACAAGGGAAUAAUUUUGAGUAAAGGGAAAGUAAGCACAUUCUAAGCAAAUCACAUUGUACUUGCAGAACAAAAUAUGUUGUUCAAAUCAGGUACCAAACAAACAAACAAAUUUAACAUGUACCUAAACAAUGCUAUUCAAAGAAGAUAUGGGAUAGAAGGUGGAACAUUCAUUACUAGAUAUUGCAAGAGAAAGUAAAUCACGUAUUUACACGAAGAACUCAGUAAUGUUGAGCAGCCAGACAAGAUAACCUGAAAUUUUAACCAAAAUUCAACAUGACCUUGACAACAAAAGGUUAUCUCUCAAUUGAGCAUCCUCUCAAUUGCAGACAGUAUUUACACGAAGAACUCAGUAAUGUUGAGCAGCCAGACAAGAUAACCUGAAAUUUUAACCAAAAUUCAACAUGACCUUGACAACAAAAGGUUAUCUCUCAAUUGAGCAUCCUCUCAAUUGCAGACACAUAAAACUCCUUUGGCAUGGUGCCAACUAUGGCGUCAAAUUUCUUGCCAUUCUUAAACAAUAAAACCACUGGUACAACCUUAAUUUCAUACUCUUCAGCAAUUUGCAUAUCAGCGUUUGUGUUGUGUACAAAGCACUUGAGUCUUCCAGCAUACUCUGUUGCAACCUCAUCAAUAACUCGGUGUACCAUCCUGCAUGGGCCACACUAGUCUGCAUAGAACUCAACAAGGACUGGGGUUUCACUUUUUAGAAUCGAGUUAUCCCACAGGUCCUUGUUAACUGGUGUAGCUGCAGGGCAACAAAGUCGCAUAAAUUAAAAGACCAUCAUAUAAUGAUUCAAAGUUCAAUAUUCAUUGACAUUGCAAAAUUCACAAAAUUAAGACCUUUGCAGGAAGAAACAUUUAUACUUAAGUAUGCUUUAAAAAGCCUUUGCAAUACAACUAGCAACUCAAACUAAGAAUCAGUAAAAUGAUCAAUAAGGCCUUGCAAAUUUUCUGAAAAUGAAACUACGCAAGUGAUAAAAAGAUCAUAAUGAUCUUUAGGUUUAUGAUGCUCCUAAUCUAUAGUUACAAAUUAUCAGAAUACAUCAGCAUGAUCGGUUAUCUCCUAUCCUCUCAUUCAUCUACUCUACUAGCUUAUUUGGGCACAAAACAAUUCACAGCAAUCAAAUUAUGAAAAACUAAACCUCAACUCAAAUGAUUAAAGCUUUUAUGACAGCAACAUUGAUGAAUAUGAAUAUUGGCAUAUUUAUUUCUUACAAUAAAACAUACCAUUAACCUCAAACUGAACAUCCAUGAUCCAAAAUGACAGAAAUAUUUAUAGAAACUUGAUUCAUCUUAGCUCUUCAGAUUAUAAACAAGUACUUGAGUGACACCUCACAACACUUCAAAACUAUUACUGCUAAAUUCACAAUAACACACUAUGUAGCACAUAUACUCUGGAAAAAAAGGUGUGUCUAUGUGUCAGUAUCUGAAAUUGACACCGACACUUGUUUACUGUAUUCAAUUUUUCAAAUUAUUAACGGUGUAGAAGUGUGAGUGUUGUGUUUCCGGUUUCCGUGUUUCAUACUUCAUAGGUAACAAAUUUACACACCUUAAUAAAAACUAAGAGUGAUUGAAUAGGAUAAGAAUGAAAAUCAAACAAAAAAGUUUGAGCAAAAAGGGCAAAAUAAAAAUAUUCGUAGCAUUACUAACUUAGGCACAAUAAAGACACAGAAUUAGUCUAUAAUCAUGCCAAAAUCCAAGAAGAAAGCGUUACAAAUGCAAUUCAAGCCAUCCUAGAUUUUAAUUUCAAAUUUAUAAAAAUUCCAAAGGAUUGGAUCUUGAAUGCACAAUAAAAAAUAGAAUCUCACACAGGUAAGUGAAGGUAAGAAGGGGAAAUGAGAGAAAGAGGCAUGGUGAAAGUGAGAGUAACGAAUGGGAAGAGAAGAGAAUCUCACACACAAAAUGGGACCAC
rnacentral:lncRNA from 1 species